GUCCGUGACCCCUCCCAACCCUCCGCACCCCGGAAUGGCCUGCGCGAGGAUUCUCUCUGAUUGUCAGGAGCAGGAAAAGAUCUGAAUUUCCCAUGAAAUGCCAGUGUCAGCAUAACAUGGUGGUACUACACAGUGCCACUCUGUCAGGCAUAUCCUGGGCCUCUCACAAAAAUAUUAUUUUAAAAAGAUAUUCAGAAUGCUUCUGGUGCCAAGUAGGUGCAGCGUGGAUACUCUGUGAUGAUGAUGAACAGCCUUCUAAGUGCGUGUACUGAGUUUAAGAAACAUAACACCACAGCACGUAAAAUCCCGUGCCAGAUCUCACACAGCCGCCAAAUCACAUCUGCCUCUAUCUCUCUGGAUGAUCCUUCUCCAAAAUCAAGGCCUGGCACCUUGCCCUGAACAUCAGCCAACUGGACAUUAGCAGACCAGGACAGAGAGGGAAAUCCAGUUAUGUUCCCCUAUAAAUCUCAACCAAAGCCAAA